rnacentral:rRNA from 1 species
GUAUAAGAGACAGCAGCAGCCGCGGGAAUACGAAGGGUGCAAGCGUUACUCGGAAUUACUGGGCGUAAAGCGUGCGUAGGUGGUGGUUUAAGUCCGUUGUGAAAGCCCUGGGCUCAACCUGGGAAUUGCAGUGGAUACUGGGUCACUAGAGUGUGGUAGAGGAUAGUGGAAUUUCCGGUGUAGCAGUGAAAUGCGUAGAGAUCGGAAGGAACAUCUGUGGCGAAGGCGACUAUCUGGGCCAACACUGACACUGAGGCACGAAAGCGUGGGGAGCAAACAGGAUUAGAUACCCCUGUAGUCCCUGUCUCUUAUAC